AGGACGAACGCUGGCGGCGUGGAUUAGGCAUGCAAGUCGCGCGACAGGCCUUCGGGCUAUGGAGCGGCGAACGGGUGAGUAACACGUGAAUAACCUGUCCCUACAUUCCGGAUAAUUGGCCGAAAGGCCUUGUAAUACGGGCGAGGGUCGUUGGGAGGUAUCUCUUGACGAAGGAAGGCGAAAGCCGUGCGGGGAGGGGUUCGCGGAUUAUCAGCUAGUUGGUGGGGUAAUGGCCUACCAAGGCGACGACGAUUAGGUGGUCUGAGAGGAUGGUCACCCACAUUGGAACUGAGACACUGUCCAGACUCCUACGGGAGGCUGCAGUCGAGAAUCUUGGGCAAUGCACGAAAGUGUGACCCAGCGACGCCGCGUGGAGGAUGAAGGACCUCUGGUUCGUAAACUCCUUUAGGGAGAAGAAGAUCUGACGGUAUCCCCUGAAUAAGCCACGGCUAACUACGUGCCAGCAGCCGC
rnacentral:rRNA from 1 species